UACGUAGGGAGCAAGCGUUGUUCGGAUUUACUGGGCGUAAAGGGCGCGUAGGCGGCGCGGUAAGUCACUUGUGAAAUCUCUGAGCUUAACUCGGAACGGUCAAGUGAUACUGCAGUGCUAGAGUGCGGAAGGGGCAAUCGGAAUUCUUGGUGUAGCGGUGAAAUGCGUAGAUAUCAAGAGGAACACCUGAGGUGAAGACGGGUUGCUGGGCCGACACUGACGCUGAGUGCGUGAAAGCCAGGGGAGCAAACGGG
rnacentral:rRNA from 1 species